rnacentral:snRNA from 1 species
GUGCUCGCUUCGCAGUAUAUAUGCUAAAAUUGGAACCAUGCAGAGAAGAUCAGCAUGGCCCCUGCGCAAGGAUGACAUGCAAAUUCAUGAAGCGUUCCAUAUUUUC